GAGUGAGCGGCAAAAGCUCAAAUUUGAAAUCUGGCUCUUUCAGAGUCCGAGUUGUAAUUUGAAGAAGGUAUCUUUGGGUCUGGCUCUUGUCUAUGUUUCUUGGAACAGAACGUCACAGAGGGUGAGAAUCCCGUGCGAUGAGAUGAUCCAGGCCUAUGUAAAGUUCCUUCGAAGAGUCGAGUUGUUUGGGAAUGCAGCUCUAAGUGGGUGGUAAAUUCCAUCUAAAGCUAAAUAUUGGCGAGAGACCGAUAGCGAACAAGUACAGUGAUGGAAAGAUGAAAAGAACUUUGAAAAGAGAGUGAAAAAGUACGUGAAAUUGUUGAAAGGGAAGGGCUUGAGAUCAGACUUGGUAUUUUGUAUGUUACUUCUUCGGGGGUGGCCUCUACUGUUUAUCGGGCCAGCAUCAGUUUGGGCGGUAGGAGAAUUGCGUUGGAAUGUGGCACGGCUUCGGUUGUGUGUUAUAGCCUUCGUCGAUACUGCCAGCCUAGACUGAGGACUGCGGUUUAUACCUAGGAUGUUGGCAUAAUGAUCUUAAGUCGCCCGUCUUGAAACACGGACC
rnacentral:rRNA from 1 species